rnacentral:rRNA from 1 species
GACGAACGCUGGCGGCGUGCCUAAUACAUGCAAGUAGAACGCUGAAGGAGGAGCUUGCUUCUCUGGAUGAGUUGCGAACGGGUGAGUAACGCGUAGGUAGCCUGCCUGGUAGCGGGGGAUAACUAUUGGAAACGAUAGCUAAUACCGCAUAACAGUAGAUAUCGCAUGAUAUCUACUUGAAAGGUGCAAUUGCAUCACUACCAGAUGGACCUGCGUUGUAUUAGCUAGUUGGUGAGGUAACGGCUCACCAAGGCGACGAUACAUAGCCGACCUGAGAGGGUGAUCGGCCACACUGGGACUGAGACACGGCCCAGACUCCUACGGGAGGCAGCAGUAGGGAAUCUUCGGCAAUAGACGGAAGUCUGACCGAGCAACGCCGCGUGAGUGAAGAAGGUUUUCGGAUCGUAAAGCUCUGUUGUAAGAGAAGAACGAGUGUGAGAGUGGAAAGUUCACACUGUGACGGUAUCUUACCAGAAAGGGACGGCUAACUACGUG